rnacentral:rRNA from 1 species
UGGGGAAUAUUGGGCAAUGGGCGAAAGCCUGACCCAGCAACGCCGCGUGAAGUAUGAAGGCCUUCGGGUUGUAAACUUCUUUGAUCAGGGAAGAAACAAAUGACGGUACAUGAAAAACAAGCCACGGCUAACUACGUGCCAGCAGCCGCGGUAAUACGUAGGGCGCAAGCGUUAUCCGGAAUUAUUGGGCGUAAAGAGCUUGUAGGCGGUUCGUCGCGUCUGGUGUGAAAGCCCAUCGCUUAACGGUGGGUUUGCGCCGGGUACGGGCGGGCUAGAGUGCAGUAGGGGAGACUGGAAUUCCCGGUGUAACGGUGGAAUGUGUAGAUAUCGGGAAGAACACCAAUGGCGAAGGCAGGUCUCUGGGCUGUUACUGACGCUGAGAAGCGAAAGCGUGGGGAGCGAACAGG